rnacentral:rRNA from 1 species
GUGGGGAAUAUUCCGCAAUGGACGAAAGUCUGACGGAGCAACGCCGCGUGAGUGAUGAAGGUUUUCGGACUGUAAAGCUCUGUUGUUUGGGACGAAAGUGCCUGUUGCGAACAGUUACGGGUAUUGACGGUACUAAACGAGGAAGCCACGGCUAACUACGUGCCAGCAGCCGCGGUAAUACGUAGGUGGCAAGCGUUUUCCGGAAUUAUUGGGCGUAAAGAGCAUGUAGGCGGGAAUCUAAGUCUGUUGUUAAAAUGCGGGGCUCAACCCCGUAUUGCGAUGGAAACUGGGUUUCUUGAGUGCAGGAGAGGAAAGGGGAAUUCCCAGUGUAGCGGUGAAAUGCGUAGAUAUUGGGAGGAACACCAGUGGCGAAGGCGCCUUUCUGGACUGUGUCUGACGCUGAGAUGCGAAAGCCAGGGUAGCGAACGGGAUUAGAAACCCCUGUAGUCC